AUGAAGUUAGAAGCUGUCUUGGUUUGAUCAAACCAUAUUUAACGCUUCUCCUUUCUGAUCUAUUCCAGUUUGGCAGCUCCUUUUCCACUUUUCCAUCUCCAUUCUUGCAGUCACCAAGCAGAAUAAAAAGAUGAUCUGUUCUCUUUUGAUUUAUUAUUUAUGAAGCCUCGACACUAGAUGGGAUGCCCCAAGCUUCUCCAGCUGAACAGCUGAAGGUUUUAGCACUGGGGUGUUGGCACUGCAUUUUUCUCUGUUGCUUUUCCUAACUUCAUGUCAAAAUCAUCGCCCGGACCAUGCCACUCUCAUGUUUUCUCUACAGAAACAUGCAAGGAUACCUGGAGACACUCCGGUAGUUUAAUUCCAUCUCAUUAUAUGGAGACCUUCUGACAAUGUCCCUCUAGAUUAUCACAAUGAGAUUUUAUUUUAAUUUGCCAUUAAACCCUUCUUACGUUAAAAGAAGGUUGCCUUAAAAAAGAAGCAUUUUAUGUUCUCAGUUUUUUCCAUUUGUGUGUGCUGGUUUAUUCUUCCUUCCCUGGUGACUCUUGGACCUACCAAUCCAUUUCUACCAAAUCUAAGAAAAGAAUAUGUUUUACUGAUCCUUUCAUCGCUUGCAGCUCACGUGGCUGUAGUUGGGGGGGGCUACAGAAAGGAGUCGAGUGCUUUACCCCCAUGUGAGUGCUGGUCAUGACCCAGCCCUAACGCUUCUCUUCCCCCAGAUCAAUGCCUGUACGACAUCCAGAGCUCCCUGUGACAUGGAGUGAUGCUUUUUGCACAGAGGAAUACUUCCAGAGUAUUUUAUGAGGAUUUAAUUGAUCAUGUAAGAAAUGCAAUGAUCAGAGAAGGCAACAGAUGAAGAGUCUGAUGAAGAGCAGGGAAAACUCCCUUUUUUAAGGUCAAGUUCUUGUGGUUUGUGCUGACAGAUACCUACUUCAUGCCAUGGUUUGUUAGCAGACAUAGUUAUGCUUGGUGCAUGUUUGGUCCUGGACUGCUUGCUAGCAACAGUUGUGUCUGAUUCCUGCCUGGGAUACAUUUAUAUAUUUUAUUAAAUCUAUAUAUCCCUCAUUAUAUAUAUAUAUAUAAUGAUGUGGGAUUUUGUGCUGGAGAGAGGGCAAGGGCAUAAAAUCUCUUCUUUCUCUUCUCUUCUCUUCUCUUCUCUUCUCUUCUCUUCUCUUCUCUUCUCUUCUCUUCUCUUCUCUUCUCUUCUCUUCUCUUCUCUUCUCUUCUCUCCUCUCCUCUCCUCUCCUCUCCUCUCCUCUCCUCUCCUCUCUCUCCUCUCCUCUCCUCUCCUCUCCUCUCCUCUCCUCUCCUCUCCUCUCCUCUCCUCUCCUCUCCUCUCCUCUCCUCUCCUCUCCUCUCCUCUCCUCUUUUUCCUCAGGGAUUUAGUGAUCCAGUAUCAGAAGCUAAAUGUCCAUCAGUGCUCAGUGUGUCAUCUUCCACACAGUCCUGCGUGCUCGUGUCUUUCCAGUUCGCUGGCAUCUCUUUUUGCCGAAAGCAUGAAAUCACAAAGAAUUCCCUGUUCACACAGGCAAGUGUUUGUGCUGUGCUAAUUUCUACGGUCUCUCUCUCCACGUUAGGAAUUCAUUAUGGUCAAGAUGGUGUGUCUAUGUACAUGCCUAAACCAGCAUCAUGUUUCCUGCACAAAGAACUAAAAAUAGGUAACUGCAACCUGCCAUUAUGAUUUUGUUGUAUCAGUUUGCGGGGUUAUUUCUCAUAGCUCGUGCUACACUUGAGACAGAUUCACUCGCUCAUGGACCAGGUCUGAUUUAGGUGAUCCUCCUGUGAAAUGAGACUCGUGCAUCCACUUGCUUCGUGGAAGAAGACCUUGGCUUCUGCAGCGGUGUGAGCAUGGCAGCUCUGAGUGCUCACAGGAGGAACGACCAUGGGCACAUGGUGAGAAGGUCCCUGCUUGCCAGGGGUUAACCAGCUGAGAGGUGUGGAAAAUCCAUCCCUGCUCUGUGUUGUCUUGUUUAAAGCAUAACAGUGUGUCAGCGAGCCAACAUCUUAAACAAUUUCCAUAUUGCACCGGGACUACAGGAAUGGGAAUAAGCGAGCCAUUUGAGUUUAGUAUGCAGGGCUGCUGGUUUGUUUUCCCCUUUGGAGAAGGGAGCAGGACAGGUCACGAUCCCUUAUUGUUUCAAAAAAUCGUUUUACGUAUUGCCUCAUUUACCAAUUCCAAUGUUAGGAGUUCUGGAAAGCCUCAUCUCAGCGUACCUAACAUCCGAGGCGCUGGCUGUUGGCAGUGCGAUGCGAGGAGCGUUCGUCGAAGCUCGGGGAUUUCACACCAGGCAGAAGAAACCGCUUGGACCCUGACAACUCGGGAGGGAGCAUCAGCAUCGCAGAGCCAGUGCUGGCGACAAGGAGCACUCCCUGAGCUGGCAUUUGGCAUCUGCAGCCUGGGCUCUCUGAAUUUCUAAAGCAGGUUCAUUGCAGCCAGCCACUCGUGGAAAGAACAGGGUUUUAAACAUGGUCCCUCUGGGCUCCACAGCUGAGCUCUGGAAUAACUUCAACAGUGAUGCUUCCGUGCUGUCUGUGAGAAUGCACCCAAAAUGGCUGGUCCUGCGUCCAGGGGAUCUUGAAAAGCCCCUGUCCAGGGUCUCUCGAAAAGAGCUGCCAGCCCCGCUUGCUUGCCCCCUCCUCACCAGUGAGGAGGCUGCCUCCAGUUCCAGCUCUGUCCUAGGUUUUGUUGGGAGACAACGAGAAAGCAGCUUCCACUAAAGGAGGUGGGCACAACGGGCUGCUGCUGGCUCUAGGCUGCUGCAAAAGUAAGUGGCAAUGAAAAAAAGUGAAUGCACAAGCACAAAAUGCUUCUUGUUUAGUUUGCUACUUUUCCUAAUGAACAACCAUUUUAUUUUGACAGAAGGUUGGCUUUGAUGUUAUCAUCUUUUGGAAGAAGUACCCAUCUUACUGUAGGAAGCAGGGCAAAGCUGCUUUGGGUGAGACCUUUGGGGACAGUGAUGAGGCCAACGGGAUCCUUUAGAUUUGCAGGGGGUUUACAGGACUCCAGUUAGCAAAGGAGCCAGGUAUGGGCUGGUGUCCCCAUAUUCCAGCAAGGAGCUAGGGAGGGCAGGAUGGCAAAUCUGCACAAAAUAUUUGUAAUUUAUCAGAAGUAAAAAGCUCGUGCUAGGCAGAAGCAGUUGUUAAAAAAUAAUAAAAAAAAAAAUCUCCAGUCCGAGCCCUGACUAAAGCUGGUUUCCAUGGAAAUAAUGGAAGUUGCAUCAUCUUCACACCUUGUUGACCACACAAUUUCCAUGGGAGCCCGUGGGUCCCCAGGUGAGGAAAAACUGGCUCAGAGCCGGAACAGCAAUGGGCUCAGAGAGCUCUGAUAUGUUUAAUCUUGGCAAUUUGCCCUUUGGCCGAAAGCCACCACAAAUGGAGAUAUCUGAAACAUCAGAACUGUGUGGAAGGGCGUUGAACAAGCCUCAUCUGAUCUCCCUCUGUCUUUAGCUCUACUGACUUCAGCAGAAUCACCCUAAGGUGCAGAUUUAUUCCUGAUUUAUUCCAGAUUUAAAAGGCUUGAAUCAGUUCGUUCAUUCAAAAGCCGCCCUGAUCAGGUUAAUGAAAAAUCUGUCCAACAACACUUUCAUUCUUUGAGAAGUUAUUUGAAGCAGCUGGAAAGGACAGUUUCGUGGCUAAAACUCUUGCUUGCUGCUGCUCAGUGCCCAUCCAUUGAGUUUGGUGGUAGACUAAACUAUGAGGUGUUGCCCUUGCUUUCUCAUUGAGUCAGAGCAAUGCUAAAAAUUAGCAAAGAGGAUACCAAAAUGUUUAUCUUGUUUCUGGGAUUGACUAUCCAUGCAAAUCAUGCAUGCUGAAAUCAUUGUGAGUGCAAGGAUUUCCAAGAGCAGCCACGGGAUGCUCAGGAUUUGUGCCUUAGAGGGAGCUUGGUCUUCUGCAGGUUGGCAGCAGAAAAGAAAUUCAUUCUUGUUUCAGUCGAGGUGUGAAUUUGGGAUGCAACAGGGAUGUAGCUCUCAGACCAGAGCUCAGAGAACUGCACUUUAAUCUGAAGGCUUCCGUCAUUCAAAAGCAACAUACUUACAUCAGUGCUGGCUUGGACUGCAAGCAUCAGGUUACGGCAUCCAGGAAAACUGGGAAUGUGCCAUUGCCAAGCACACAGAGAAGAGUUGGCUCAUUUUGAUGGCCUGCUGGCCAUCAUUGAUCAACAUUUGGGUAUCAGCGGCCAAACGAGGCAAUUAGGAAAGAGCAGGAGUGUAAAAGCCGCAGCUUUCUCCCGGCCAUGAAUAGUAGCAGGCAGCUGAUGGAGAAGGGUCUUGCUUCCCAGCGAGCGAGGUCCGAAGAGGUUGCUCUUAAUUAUCUUCUUGCUCCCAGCAGGAGAGAUCAGUGCAGCCCCAUGUGCAAUGCUCGUUUAGGAAGAAUCGCAUCGACUCCUGCAAGGCCCUUAGUGAAGGGGUUUUAAUCAAGGCUGGAAGGGGACUUUGGAGAUCCGGCAUUGUGGAGGUCAGGCUUGAGGGGUCCCAGGGACAGGUCUGAUUCAGCUCUUCAGAAAACACAGUGAUUUCUUUCCAAUUCUUCAGACGAGAAAGAAAUAGAAACGUAUUUAAACAACCAAACUUCCACUGAUCCUCUUGAAAUGAAGCUGGACUGAAGGGACUUCUGCAGGACGGACACCUCUGUGGCUGUCCACCACAUGGUUGCUUUGCUGGCACCGUCUGCAGCUUGUCCUCGCUGGGGACCCGCUCCCUCAAAGAGCUUGUCCACAUGGCCUCAGGGCAGAUUUUGGCUAAGAGCUCCACUGAUGGAUGAGCAUCACGAUCAGGCUGGUUUGUUAGAAAACAAGACAGACUUUAGCAGCUGCUCGCUUCUGCAGAUACGCCUCUGGCAUGCACACAUGGAAUGGAUUUGGGAGGAAAGAUGUCAUUUUUGUGACCCCGCUUUCCUGAAUGCAGUCCUGGCUUUGCAGACAAAAUAAGCGCCGUGGCGGGGUCCCCAGGCACGGCUCCAGCCCAAAGCUGCAAGUUAGCACAGAUCUGCUCUCUCUCAGCGGGAUUUACCCAUCACCUUCCACUUCCUAGCAGGAGUCACCGCCAGCAGUGCAGUGAAGGAGGACAUGUCAAUGCAGCCUCCUCUCGAAGGCAGACUGAAAAAGCGGUAAAAGAAAAUACACAUCUAGAACCGGAGGAGAGGGAGGACAGCAUCGUGCUAAAAAUCCACUUCCCUGCUCAUUGGCAUCCUGCCGCUGGCCAGCCCCCAGGUUUUCUGCCAGUUGGGUGUGAAAAAAAGUAGCCUAAGACAGUAAGAGCCGAGCUGCCCAUCCACCUUCUCCAUGCCAUGCCUUCUCCAUGCCUUACAGCAAAGGUCCCGGACUGCGAGAUACAAAGCACGUCGAUGGACCAGAGUUGCUUCCUUCUUCGGCAGCCGAAAGGGUCCGUGGUGGAUGGGAUGUCUGGGACUCGAAGGAAGUUGUUAGUGGGAUUGGUAACCAAAACUGAAAUCCCAUGUCAUCGCAUAUGCAGCUUUGUUGUACCCGACCUCCUCUCUGUCUCUUCUGCAAAAAGAAAAAAAAAAAGGAAAUCUUCUGCAUUUGCCUGUAAAGCUGUGUGAGUUGGCUUCCUUUUCUCCUGGGUGAAAAAAAAAAAAGGCCAAAAAAAAAAAAGCACCUUUGUUUUUUAUAACUUCCAAAGAGCCUUUUCCUGCCAGUCCAAAACACAGAAUUAGAGAUUAGAGAUUGUAUUUUCCCUUCACUUU